rnacentral:piRNA from 1 species
UGCCAACGAGAUUUUCACAGACACGGCA